rnacentral:rRNA from 1 species
UACGGAGGGAGCUAGCGUUGUUCGGAAUUACUGGGCGUAAAGCGCACGUAGGCGGCUUUGUAAGUUAGAGGUGAAAGCCCGGAGCUCAACUCCGGAAUUGCCUUUAAGACUGCAUCGCUUGAAUCCAGGAGAGGUGAGUGGAAUUCCGAGUGUAGAGGUGAAAUUCGUAGAUAUUCGGAAGAACACCAGUGGCGAAGGCGGCUCACUGGACUGGUAUUGACGCUGAGGCACGAAAGCGUGGGGAGCAAACAGG